GAUGAACGCUGGCGGCGUGCUUAACACAUGCAAGUCGAACGGUGAAGGCGGAGCUUGCUCUGCUGGAUCAGUGGCGAACGGGUGAGUAACACGUGAGCAAUCUGCCCCUGACUCUGGGAUAAGCGCUGGAAACGGCGUCUAAUACUGGAUACGAGCUGCGAAGGCAUCUUCAGCAGCUGGAAAGAACUUCGGUCAGGGAUGAGCUCGCGGCCUAUCAGCUUGUUGGUGAGGUAACGGCUCACCAAGGCGUCGACGGGUAGCCGGCCUGAGAGGGUGACCGGCCACACUGGGACUGAGACAUGGCCCAGACUCCUACGGGAGGCAGCAGUGGGGAAUAUUGCACAAUGGGCGAAAGCCUGAUGCAGCAACGCCGCGUGAGGGACGACGGCCUUCGGGUUGUAAACCUCUUUUAGCAGGGAAGAAGCGAAAGUGACGGUACCUGCAGAAAAAGCGCCGGCUAACUACGUG
rnacentral:rRNA from 1 species